CAAGGUAGAAAGGGCACACGGUGGAUGCCUUGGCAUCAGGAGGCGAAGAAGGACGCGGCAGGCUGCGAAAAGCCACGGGGAGCUGCGAGCAAGCGAUAAUCCGUGGGAAUCCGAAUGGGGGAACCCGGUCCCGGUCAUACGGGAUCAUCGCACACUGAAUAAAUAGGUGUGUGAGGCGAGACCCGGGGAAGUGAAACAUCUCAGUACCCGGAGGAGAAGAAAUCAAGUGAGAUUCCCCAAGUAGCGGCGAGCGAACGGGGAAGAGCCCAAACCGAGCGUACCACUUAAAGUAUGCGAGCGUGCAGCUUGAUAGUUUGGAGGCCGGAGGCCGACGAACCAAUCACAUCUUUCCCUCACGCAUUAAGCGUAGAGGGGGGGUGCAAGACAACAGAGCGUGCUUUAAGUGGUAUGCUCGGGGUUGUAGGACCGCGAAAGUACCAAGGUGUAUAUAUAGCCGAACCCGGCUGGAAAGUUGGGCCGUAGAGGGUGAUAGCCCCGUAGGCGAAAUAUAUACAUCAGGGAAGCGGAAUCCUGAGUACCACGGGACACGAGGAAUCCUGUGGGAAGCAGGGGGGACCACCCUCCAAGGCUAAAUACUUCCUGAUGACCGAUAGUGGACGAGUACCGUGAGGGAAAGGUGAAAAGAACCCCUGUUAGGGGAGUGAAAGAGAACCUGAAACCGUGUGCUUACAAGCAAUCAGAGGUUCGAAGGAAUUCGGACUGAUGGUGUGCCUUUUGAUUAAUGAGCCGGCGAGUUACUGGCAGUGGCGAGGUUAAGGCCUUCAGGGCUGGAGCCGAAGGGAAACCGAGUCUUAACAGGGCGUAUAGUCGCUGUCAGCAGACCCGAAGCCAGGUGAUCUACCCAUGGUCAGGGUGAAGUCCCGGUAAAACGGGAUGGAGGCCCGAACCGGUGUAAGUUGCAAAUUGCUCGGAUGAACUGUGGGUAGGGGUGAAAGGCCAAUCAAACCUGGUGAUAGCUGGUUCUCCCCGAAAUGUAUUUAGGUACAGCCUCUGAGUAAUCUUAUGGGGGUAGGGCACUGAAUGGGCUAGGGCCCCGUAGGGGGUACCAAACCCAAUCAAACCGCGAAUACCAUAAGAUGGUCUCAGGGAGUGAGACUGCGGGUGCUAAGAUUCGUAGUCGAGAGGGAAACAGCCCAGACCGUCAGCUAAGGUCCCCAAGGGAUUGCUAAGUGGGAAAGGAUGUGGUGUUGCCCUGACAGCCAGGAGGUUGGCUUAGAAGCAGCCAUCCUUUAAAGAAAGCGUAAUAGCUCACUGGUCAAGCGACACUGCGCCGAAAAUUUAACGGGGCUUAAGCAAUCCACCGAAGCUACGGACUUAACGGCGGGGAUUAGGUUUUAGGGGUUAGUAGUUGGUGAAAGGCUGAAAAAGAAAGUCUUUACUAAUCCCCAAUCCCUGAUUCCUAACCCCCGUCGUUGAGUGGUAGGGGAGCACUCUGCUAACCUGUGAAGGUAUAUUGUGAAGUAUGCUGGAGGAGGCAGAGGAGAGUAUGUCGGCAUAAGUAGCGAAAAUACUGAUUAGAAGUCAGUACGCCGUAAACCUAAGGUUUCCUGGGGAAGGCAAAUCCGCCCAGGGUUAGUCGGGCCUAAGGCGAGGCCGAAAGGCGUAGUCGAUGGACAACAGGUUAAUAUUCCUGUACCACUGUGUAUGUUAUGAUCUCAGGGGUGACGCAGGAGGAUAGUGCAGGCUCCGUGACGGAAUACGGGGUCCAAGCGUUGAGGAGGUGGGGCAGGCAAAUCCGCUCCACAGAACUCCAGGGCGUAACGGGGAGUCCGCUUCAGGGCGAACCUGCAUGAUUUCACACUGACGAGAAAACCCUCGGAGGGAGUGUGCAUGGUGACCGUACCGCAAACCGACACAGGUAGGUAGGUAGAAGAUACCAAGGCGUUCGAGACAACCCUCGCUAAGGAACUCGGCAAAAUAGCCCCGUAACUUCGGGAGAAGGGGUCCCUGUUUUGCAGGGGGCACUAAAGAGGCCCAAGCGACUGUUUACCAAAAACAUAGGUGUCUGCUAACUCGAAAGAGGAUGUAUAGGCACUGACGCCUGCCCGGUGCCGGAAGGUUAAAGGGAGGUGUUAGCUCCUUCGGGGGCGAAGCUCUGAACUGAAGCCCCGGUAAACGGCGGCCGUAACUAUAACGGUCCUAAGGUAGCGAAAUUCCUUGUCGGGUAAGUUCCGACCUGCACGAAUGGCGUAACGACUUGGGCGCUGUCUCGGCGAGGGACUCGGCGAACUUGAGGUACCGGUGAAGACGCCGGUUACCCGCAGCAAGACGGAAAGACCCUGUGCACCUUUACUGUAGCUUGGCAUUGAGUUUUGGUGUGGUAUGUGCAGGAUAGGUGGGAGGCAGAGAGACCCGACCGCAAGGUUGGGAGGAGCCGUCCUUGAAAUACCACCCUUAUCACAUCGGGGCUCUAAUCCCUUCCAGUGAAUCCUGGGGGGAGACAGUGUCUGGUGGGCAGUUUGACUGGGGCGGUCGCCUCCCAAAGAGUAACGGAGGCGUCCAAAGGUUCCCUCAGGCUGGACGGAAACCAGCCGUAGAGUGCAAAGGCAGAAGGGAGCUUGACUGUGAGGCCGACGGGCCGAGCAGGUACGAAAGUAGGGCUUAGUGAUCCGGUGGCACUGAGUGGAAGGGCCAUCGCUCAACGGAUAAAAGGUACGCCGGGGAUAACAGGCUUAUCGGGUCCAAGAGUUCACAUCGACGACCCGGUUUGGCACCUCGAUGUCGGCUCAUCGCAUCCUGGGGCUGAAGCAGGUCCCAAGGGUUGGGCUGUUCGCCCAUUAAAGCGGUACGCGAGCUGGGUUCAGAACGUCGUGAGACAGUUCGGUCCCUAUCUGCUGUGGGCGCAGGAGACUUGAGGGGAGCUGUCCUUAGUACGAGAGGACCGGGAUGGACGGACCACUGGUGUUCCGGUUGUCGUGCCAACGGCAAUGCCGGGUAGCCAUGUCCGGAAGGGAUAACCGCUGAAGGCAUCUAAGCGGGAAGCCCACCCCAAGAUUAGGUCUCCCGUGGGGUUAAACCCACCUGAAGGUCCCUGGAAGACUACCAGGUUGAUAGGCUGGAGGUGUAAGUACAGUAAUGUAUUCAGCUGACCAGUACUAAUAGACCGUGCGCCUUG
rnacentral:rRNA from 1 species